rnacentral:rRNA from 1 species
UACAGAGGUCCCAAGCGUUGUCCGGAAUCACUGGGCGUAAAGGGCGCGUAGGUGGCCCGUUAAGUGGCUGGUGAAAUCCUGUGGCUUAACUGCAGGGCUGCCUCCUAGACUGUUAGGCUCGAGCACGGUAGAGGCAGAUGGAAUUCCCGGUGUAGCGGUGGAAUGCGUAGAGAUCGGGAAGAACAUCGGUGGCGAAGGCGGCAUCCUGGACCAAUAUUGACGCUGAGGAGCGAAAGCCAGGGGAGCAAACGGG